UUGACGGGGAGCACCACGAACGGGUGGAGCUUGCGGUUUAAUUGGAUUCAACGCCGGAAAUCUUACCGGGACCGACAGCAAUAUGAAGGCCAGGCUGAAGACUUUGCCGGAUUAGCUGAGAGGUGGUGCAUGGCCGUCGUCAGUUCGUACUGUGAAGCAUCCUGUUAAGUCAGGCAACGAGCGAGACCCACGCCCACAGUUGCCAGCGUACUCUCUGGAGUGACGGGUACACUGUGGGACCGCCGCUGCUAAAGCGGAGGAAGGAAUGGGCAACGGUAGGUCAGUAUGCCCCGAAUAUCCCGGGCUACACGCGAGCUACAAUGGUUGGUACAAUGGGUAUCUACCCCGAAAGGGGACGGGAAUCUCCUAAAACCAAUCUUAGUUCGGAUUGAGGGCUGCAACUCGCCCUCAUGAAGCUGGAAUCCGUAGUAAUCGCGUUUCAACAGAACGCGGUGAAUACGUCCCUGCUCCUU
rnacentral:rRNA from 1 species